rnacentral:rRNA from 1 species
UACGAAGGGUGCAAGCGUUACUCGGAAUUACUGGGCGUAAAGCGUGCGUAGGCGGUCUGUUAAGUCCGUUGUGAAAGCCCUGGGCUCAACCUGGGAAUUGCAGUGGAUACUGGCGGGCUAGAGUGCGGUAGAGGAUGGUGGAAUUCCCGGUGUAGCGGUGAAAUGCGUAGAGAUCGGGAGGAACACCCGUGGCGAAGGCGGCCAUCUGGACCAGCACUG